AAUUGAAAUUAAAAUAAAGUUUCUGAUAGAAAAUGACUUUACAUGUGGAAGGUUGUAAGCCAAGAAUUAAAACAGGUAAGGAUUUGCAUAGUUGGCAUACACACUUGGCUGUGUUGGAGGUUUUCAAGCCAAGAGAAGUGCCAACUUGGCUAAUCCUUGUUUUGCAUAUUUGUCUCUAUUUAUUAGCUGCUCCCUCCAGCCCCGGACGCCUUCGAAUCGAAACAAACUAAAGCUCUUCCAUCUCUGUUUUUCUUCUUUCGAUCUGCCCAUCAGCCUUAGCUUGUUAUCAAGUAUCAACACCAUAUUUCUUCAUUAAAAGGUAAUCAUAAUAUUUUUCUUGCUUUCAAGCACACAGAGCACCCUCUCUGAUUACCAAAGCUGAUGGAUCAACUUGCAACAGUGUUGGAUAUGGGACGGGGUAACUAGGUGAAUAUAUAUAAAAUAGGGAAAAGUUACAUGUGUGAAAUCCAGCCAAUGAGAGAGCGACACCUGGCUCAAAAUGGAGAUUCCAACGGCGGAGGCGACUGCUAGCGGUGAUGGCGGCGUGGUGUUGUUAAAGAUAUAAGCGGUGAUUGGCUGAAGAAAACGGUGACACAGACUGGGUUGUUUUGAUUUGAAUUAGAAACUAGUAAAAUUAUCCGUACAGAAAUUUAUUAUCAUGAAAUUUCUAAAAUAAUACUUAAAAGGAAAAAUUCUUUUGGCCAGAAAAUUUGGC